rnacentral:rRNA from 1 species
AUUGAACGCUGGCGGCAUGCUUUACACAUGCAAGUCGAACGGUAACGCGGGGCAACCUGGCGACGAGUGGCGAACGGGUGCGUAAUGUAUCGGAACGUGCCCAGUUGUGGGGGAUAACUGCUCGAAAGAGCAGCUAAUACCGCAUACGACCUGAGGGUGAAAGCGGGGGAUCGCAAGACCUCGCGCAAUUGGAGCGGCCGAUAUCAGAUUAGGUAGUUGGUGGGGUAAAGGCCCACCAAGCCAACGAUCUGUAGCUGGUCUGAGAGGGCGACCAGCCACACUGGGACUGAGACACGGCCCAGACUCCUACGGGAGGCAGCAGUGGGGAAUUUUGGACAAUGGACGCAAGUCUGAUCCAGCCAUGCCGCGUGCGGGAAGAAGGCCUUCGGGUUGUAAACCGCUUUUGUCAGGGAAGAAAAGGGCGACUCUAAUACAGUUGCCUCAUGACGGUACCUGAAGAAUAAGCACCGGCUAACUACGUGCCAGCCGCCGCAGUAAGAC